UGUUAAUCUUUUUCCCCACGAUCUAAAAUUCUUAACGUCCUCUCCCCUCAAACAAAAUAUUUUUUCUACGAAAAGCCUCCACCUUUGUUCUCUAAUUCAGUUUUCUUCAAGUCAAUAAAAAAUCUCAUGAUCUCCUCUCUGAAUUCCACGAUCCCCAAAUUAACUAAAUUCCUACUCUCAUCAGUUUCAGCAAAUCAUCAUGUAUACAUAUCACACAAUCAAUUAUCACAAUCAUUUUCCAUUCACUUUAUCCAAAUCACCAUCAAAAAAUUACUGUUACUAUUAGCCUUCCUGCUUGACAACCAAACAUGAUCCGUCAACACCAAAUUCCCGUUUCAUCUUCACAAUUCAUUCAUUUCAACUUUCCACCGCCGCUGGUUUUCCUCCUCCUCUCAUAAGGUGAUUCCAGUUAUCCAAAUCACUAUAAAAUCUGAAACUUUUUUGAGAGGAACAUGUAACCAAUGUAUUGCUUUUCUCUCUGUUUUGAUUUUCUGUUU